rnacentral:rRNA from 1 species
AUUGCCCCAGUAACGGCGAGUGAAGCGGCAACAGCUCAAAUUUGAAAUCUGGCCCCCCCCGCGGGGCCCGAGUUGUAAUUUGCAGAGGAUGCUUUUGGCGCGGCGCCUUCCGAGUUCCCUGGAACGGGACGCCAUAGAGGGUGAGAGCCCCGUCUGGUCGGACGCCCAGCCUCUGUAAAGCUCCUUCGACGAGUCGAGUAGUUUGGGAAUGCUGCUCUAAAUGGGAGGUAUAUGUCUUCUAAAGCUAAAUACUGGCCAGAGACCGAUAGCGCACAAGUAGAGUGAUCGAAAGAUGAAAAGCACUUUGAAAAGAGGGUUAAACAGUACGUGAAAUUGUUGAAAGGGAAGCGCUUGUGACCAGACAUGGGCGCGGCGAAUCAUCCGGCGUUCUCGCCGGUGCACUUCGCCGCGCCCGGGCCAGCAUCAGUUCGCGGCGGGGGACAAAGGCGCCGGGAACGUGGCUCCCCCGGGAGUGUUAUAGCCCGGCGCGCAAUGCCCCGCGGCGGACUGAGGUUCGCGCAUCCGCAAGGAUGCUGGCGUAAUGGUCACCAGUGACCCGUCUUGAAACACGGACCAAGGAGUCGUCCUCGUAUGCGAGUGUUCGGGUGUCAAACCCCUACGCGCAAUGAAAGUGAACGCAGGUGAGAGCCUCACGGCGCAUCAUCGACCGAUCCUGAUGUUCUCGGAUGGAUUUGAGUAAGAGCAUACGGGGCCGGACCCGAAAGAAGGUGAACUAUGCCUGUGUAGGGUGAAGCCAGAGGAAACUCUGGUGGAGGCUCGCAGCGGUUCUGACGUGCAAAUCGAUCGUCAAACAUGGGCAUGGGGGCGAAAGACUAAUCGAACCUUCUAGUAGCUGGUUUCCGCCGAA